rnacentral:rRNA from 1 species
AACGAACGCUGGCGGCAGGCUUAACACAUGCAAGUCGAGCGCCCCGCAAGGGGAGCGGCAGACGGGUGAGUAACACGUGGGAACAUACCCAUCUCUGCGGAACAACUCCGGGAAACUGGAGCUAAUACCGCAUACGCCCUUCGGGGGAAAGAGUUAUCGGAGAUGGAUUGGCCCGCGUUGGAUUAGCUAGUUGGUGGGGUAAAGGCCUACCAAGGCGACGAUCCAUAGCUGGUCUGAGAGGAUGAUCAGCCACAUUGGGACUGAGACACGGCCCAAACUCCUACGGGAGGCAGCAGUGGGGAAUAUUGGGCAAUGGGCGCAAGCCUGAUCCAGCCAUGCCGCGUGAGUGAUGAAGGCCUUAGGGUUGUAAAGCUCUUUCACCGAUGAAGAUAAUGACGGUAGUCGGAGAAGAAGCCCCGGCUAACUUCGUGCCAGCCGCCGCCGUAACAC